CCUACGGGGGGCAGCAGUGGGGAAUAUUGCACAAUGGGGGAAACCCUGAUGCAGCGACGCCGCGUGAGUGAAGAAGUAAUUCGUUACGUAAAGCUCUAUCAGCAGGGAAGAAACACUGACCUUACGGUCAGCAGACGGUACCUGAGUACGGAGCCCCGGCUAACUACGUGCCAGCAGCCGCGGUAAUACGUAGGGUGCAAGCUUUAUCCGGAUUUACUGGGUGUAAAGGGAGCGUAGACGGUUCGCCAAGUCUGGAGUGAAAUGCCGCAGCUUAACUGCGGAACUGCUUUGGAAACUGGCGAACUAGAGUGAGGGAGGGGUAAGCAGAAUUCCUAGUGUAGCGGUGAAAUGCGUAGAGAGUAGGAGGAACACCGGUGGCGAAGGCGGCUUACUGGACCGUAACUGACGUUGAGGCUCGAAAGCGUGGGGAGCAAACAGGAUUAGAUACCCCGGUAGUC
rnacentral:rRNA from 1 species